rnacentral:sRNA from 1 species
UUGACACUAAGGGCGGAGUGACAUAAUUUCAGGAGUGAGGGUUAGGGAGAGGUUUCUCCCUCCCCCUAGUGUUCUUAGUAAGCCUGGAAGCUAAUCACUAAGAGUAUCACCAGUAUGAUGACGUGCUUCAUCAUAACCCUUUCCUUAUU